rnacentral:lncRNA from 12 species
UGGCAGCUGGCUCCUGAUUGUCAGAACCACCUAAAUGCAGUGGUGAGGCCGGAGCUUCAGGGUGACGUGCUGAGAAGGGGCUAAAAGCUUGGUGAUGAACCCCCCAGAGCUUACCAUUACCUCACACCCUGGACAGCAUCUGGCCAUUGCCCGCCCUGAGAAGCUGCACCACCUGCCCCUCCCAGCUGUGAAAUCUCCAGCCUCGGCCUCUGUGUCUGUCAGCUGGAUUUCCUCGAGCCUCUCAUGGGGACUGGGGGUCUCCACCCGCCCCUACCAUCCAGGCUGUGUGCCCUUGGACAAGGGGCUCCCUCUCCAAGCCUCUUGUUUCUCCUCCUUGAAAUAAGAAUACUAACUAGGAAAACUAACAGAAUGUCCGGGGUUUUGUCAGGAUGACUUGAGUCACCGAGCUCCGUCUUACAGCAGCUGAUACUGUCAUUGCUACUCCGUAUUCAUGAAAGUCCGUUUAAUGUCGUUUCCAGCAGAACUAGAAUGCGAGCCACGUAGGUCACUUAGAUCUUUCUUAAAAAGUGAAAAUAAACUAGUGCAAGUGAUUUUAAUGUCACUUAACCUGAUACAUCUCAAAUGUUUCAACGUGUGGCACUGGCCACAUUUCAAGGGCUCAGUGGUCACUUGUGGCCCGUGGCGACUGUAUUGGACGGUGCAGGCAGAGGAAUACAUGCAAACAUGCUUCAGGCUGGAGAAAUCAAGAGACUUCCCACCGGAGGGAGUAUCAGCACUGGACACCGAAAGAUGA